rnacentral:rRNA from 1 species
UUGUCCGGAUUUACUGGGUGUAAAGGGUGCGUAGGCGGCUUUGCAAGUCAGAUGUGAAAUCUAUGGGCUCAACCCAUAAACUGCAUUUGAAACUGUAGAGCUUGAGUGAAGUAGAGGCAGGCGGAAUUCCCCGUGUAGCGGUGAAAUGCGUAGAGAUGGGGAGGAACACCAGUGGCGAAGGCGGCCUGCUGGGCUUUAACUGACGCUGAGGCACGAAAGCGUGGGUAGCAAACAGGAUUAGAUACCCUGGUAGUCCACGCUGUAAACGAUGAUUACUAGGUGUGGGGGG